rnacentral:rRNA from 1 species
AGCGAACGUUAGCGGCAGGCCUAACACAUGCAAGUCGCGCGAGAACAGGGCUUCGGCCCCCAGUAAAGCGGCGGACGGGUGAGUAACACGUGGGUAAUGUGCCCUUCGGUGGGGGAUAACAGUCCGAAAGGAUUGCUAAUACAGCAUUCGUCGGCGAGGGCUUCGGUCCUUGACGGGAAAGGUGGCCUCUUCAUGAAAGCUACCGCCGAAAGAGCAGCCCGCGGCCCAUCAGCUAGUUGGUGAGGUAAUGGCCCACCAAGGCAAAGACGGGUAGCUGGUCUGAGAGGAUGAUCAGCCACACUGGAACUGAGACACGGUCCAGACUCCUACGGGAGGCAGCAGUGGGGAAUAUUGGGCAAUGGGCGCAAGCCUGACCCAGCCAUGCCGCGUGAGUGAUGAAGGCCUUCGGGUCGUAAAGCUCUGUGGGGAGGGACGAAACAGCUCGGUGAUAAUACCGCCGGGCCCUGACGGUACCUCCUUAGCAAGCACCGGCUAACUCCGUGCCAGCCGCCGCGGUAAAAC